GCGGGUGUAGCUCAGUUGGUAGAGCAUCAGCUUCCCAAGCUGAUGGUCGUGAGUUCGAGACUCAUCGCCCGCU
rnacentral:tRNA from 1 species